GCGCCGCUCCCCCGGGCUCCGCCGGCAUCGCCCGGGCACGUCGCCCUGAGGUCCUUCGCGAGCUUCGGUGCGGCGGGACGCUCGAGAAGGCUUCCGCGCGUGGCAGGCGGCGGACGGGAGCCUGCGUCUUUGCUGUUCUCCUUUCGUCCAAACCCAACUCCAGCCCACCGUCGCUGUCCCUCCAUUAAACGUGAUGCCUCAAAGACCUGAAACGUCCUUCCAAUGACUGAGAGCUGCACGUCCGUGACCCAGCAUCCAUGAGAAGAGCUCCUUCACAGCUUCUCAGACACUGCCCAUGGCCUAACCAAGGACCAUCAGCUUGGGACACCUCCCAGCCCCGUCCAGGUGGAUGUCAGCUGGUGCAUCUCACACUGUUCAUCCCUACUAGAAACCCCCAACACCAGUAACGCCUGCCCCAUCCUGGCCCUCUGCAAGCAGGAACGGGCACUGAACCAAAGGCUGGGCAGUGCGGGGUCACCCAUGAGUCAGGACGCCCUGCUCAGCGCCCAGACGGGGAAGACAGGCCAGAAAUAGAGCCGUUGUUUAGAUAGACGGUGUUAUUGCAGCAGCCUCGCAGCCAGCAAGCUCCCUCUUGCCAAGCAGAAAGGCCCUUUGCUCCCUGCCAGCGAGAUGAAGGCAGGAUUGGGAUGCUCUGGCAGGACACAGGGCCAGCUCCAGCCCCAUGGAAAUCGGCAGCACUGAUCCACCCCACAGUGCUGCAUCCCCACCAGCCCUGGGAUCUCCUUCCCCUGGGUGCUGGGAGCAUCCAAGCUGACUCCUCCUCAAAAAGUUUUCCCCAGCCUGAUCUGAGGACUGAAAGGACCACACCAAGCUUGGCCCACCAAGGUCUGAAUUAUCACCAGGAUGAACACUUUUCCUGAAGGAGCUUGGGCUCCCACAGAGCUGGAAGCUGGACGUUAGUGCCAAAGCCCAUUGCAAGGCUGGAUCCAGCCAACUCUACUCAGAGCAUCCCAAGAGCUCCCCAUUUAGACUCAGCAAAGCCUUGAUGCUUCACCAUCACUCCAGUCCCAGGCUGAAAAUAUUCCUACGCUGGAAAGGAGGGCCCUGAAAGGGGAGUCCCUUUCCUGUGGGCAGGAUGGAGCCAAGCAAAUCAUGUCUCUGUCUCCAUCUGUGGAGAUACUCAAUGCCAAACUGGACAAGGCCCUGAAUGCCCCAGCUUGGGACCUGGAUCAAGCAUCGAUGCUGGCCCUGAUUUGGGGGCUUUGGACCAGAGAUCUCCAGAGGUCCCAUCCAGCACCCUCUAGGCUAUGAUUUAUUUUUCAAGUGAGUUCGACUGGCAGCUCUGCAAAAUCUCUGCACUACAGAAGUCCUUGAAUCACGUUCUCCAAGGUAGGCUCUUUCCUGCAGGAUGUCAGAGGGCGUGUUGCACGCUGGAUCAGUACUGCCAGCCAACAGAGAGGGAAAAUAACAACUCGUUACAAGCCAACUACUGCACCUGCAAGCUCCCAGCCCAACUCCUGCUGACAGACAAUGUGGUAUGUCCAUGGAGGUGAGAAGCUGGAGGACAGCC